rnacentral:rRNA from 1 species
UACGUAGGCAGCAAGCGUUGUUCGGAGUUACUGGGCGUAAAGGGUGUGUAGGCGGUUGUUUAAGUUUGGUGUGAAAUCUCCCGGCUCAACCGGGAGGGUGCGCCGAAUACUGAAUGACUAGAGUGCGGGAGAGGAAAGUGGAAUUCCUGGUGUAGCGGUGAAAUGCGUAGAUAUCAGGAGGAACACCGGUGGUGUAGACGGCUUUCUGGACCAUAACUGACGCUGAGACACGAAAGCGUGGGUAGCAAACAGG